AAGACUAUAGACCUGCGGAGUACCUGCGGAAGGAUCAUUAUCGAGUUUACAACUCCCAAACCAUUGUGAAUCUUACCUUUUCGUUGCUUCGGCGGGAUCGCCCCGGGCGCUUCGGUGCCCCGGAUUCAGGCGCCCGCCGGGGGACCUAAACUCUUGUAUUAUAGUGGAUUUCUGAGUGGAUUACACAAAUAAUCAAAACUUUUAACAAUGGAUCUCU
rnacentral:misc_RNA from 1 species